GCCAUAUUGUAAUUUCUGUGUUCGAAGUGAAGUCUUAUACAAACGAAAUUCAAUAUUUUAAACUAUGGAGUCAUCUGCACGAAAGCGCAGUCGUAUUGCUGAUGACCAACGUUGUAUUUUGGGGAAAUUUUUCGACGAGGGGAUGGUUGGAACUGGCUCUAAAUAUAAAGAUAAAGUGGAUAAUGCAGUCAUGCAGGCAGGACUAACAAACAAAAUCGCAGGUCGAGGUGUGGAUUGGCAAUCAGAAACGAAAUUCAAAAAGACUGAAAGGGGGAAUGACAUCUUCUGAUGCUGAACAACUGCAGUAUUAUUGAAAAGAGCUAAAAGUAUACAAGGGCCAAAUGCAUAUAACUUGUUUUGCAGUAACGUUUUCAAAUCAGAUGAGUGCAAAGGAUUAUCGCACUCCGAAAAGAACAAGCCUGCUGCAGAAAAAUGGUCACGUCAAAACAGUGAUGAGAAAGAGAAGUACCGGGAAACUGCAAAGGCAAUAAAUUGUGUGAAAAUUGAUAAAUUGGAUGAGGUUCAAAAGAGGAAAACUUUUGAAAGACAUAUUAAAAAACUUCAGGAAGAGAUUAUUGUGCUUGGAGAUCUGGGAUGCCAAAUUUCAUCAUUGAUGGUAGACAACAUGGGAGUAGUUUUCCAAAUUGGAUCAAAUCAAGGAAACCAGUUCUUGUCAUGCAAUCCUGAAAUUGGCAUUAAAUUUCGAGAAUA